rnacentral:rRNA from 1 species
CUUUUAUGGAGAGUUUGAUCCUGGCUCAGGAUGAACGCUGGCGGCGUGCCUAAUACAUGCAAGUCGAGCGAACAGAUAAGGAGC